GCAAUCACAAUAUGGCAACAUUGUAACAAAAUGCAAUAAUGACCAUUAUACAGCUUUAAAAUUUUCAAACUACAUCGGAGUAUUAAAUUCUAUGUGUUCUGAACUUUCUCUUUGUUUUGAACCCUUGUGAUAUUCCAUCUUUCUUUGUUUGUUUUUUCCGAGGUUGUAAACAUAUCAUUUUGGUUCAUAUCAUAUCUCUGAUUGUUGAGGAUUCAGCUUGCUUUCUUCAGUAAGGGUGCAGCAUCCAUGGUUCUACCAUGGUAGAAGAAGUGAAGAACCCUUGUUUGAUUUACAGAAGCAAUGUUGAAAGACUUGGAAUAGAAAUGCAUCGACCUUUGAUCUUCAAAAGGGAUUCCAACUUCCAAGCAAUACUUUAACACUCAACCUAUUGGUUGAUGUAUACAUCUUUCCAACAACAAUUGAUAUGUUAGGUCACAUGCCCUUUGUUUUCUGUUCCUUUUCCAUAAGGGACCUAGCCUACAAUCUCGUCUUCCUUUUUUCCUAUUGUCAAUGUCAUGCAUAUUUCCUAUGGGAACUUGAUCCUAGACCUUAUUAACAACUGCACCUAUACUUGGUCAUAAACACAUAUAAAGGUAUGUAUACCAUCUGAAUGAGCAUACAAAAAAAUGGAGUUAUUCGUGUCAAUAAUGGUUUUCGGAUUCAUUAUGCAGAGUCCAGGAUCACUAUUAUAGCAUGAAAGUGCAUAUAUUACUCACUAUUCAGGAUUAUACCAACCAUAAUAUAUGCAACCUUAAUAGCAUAGGACAAUUAAGGUGUAGAUAUUUGAAGAGAUAGGUCAUAGUCAAGCUCUCAUGCUUUCUUUUUACUAGUUCUGGUUGUGGUUGUCAAUUUUAGAGCAUGGUUAAAAAAUUCAAACUGAUUCAUGCAUUCUUGUUAGGAGAUGAGUGUAUGGCUCUUCCCCAAUAGCAUGUAAUUUAUAUAAGUUCUGUAUUUAGGUUAAGAUUGAUUGUUGUUGAUACAAAUUGUAAAUACUUUUGUAUAUAGUAUGUAAAACUCUAUAGGUGUUUGUAUUCGAGUCGUUAUUUACUUGACAUGCAUUGUAGAAAAAAUAUUGUUAUAUAUAUAACUAAUUAAAUAAUGUUAGUUUGUUACUAGUUGUACCCCAAAAUACCAAUGGAUGGAAAAAGUUUUUGCUAAUUUUCAUUUAAAAAAUGCAACAAAUGAAAUGUUGUGAAUUUUUACAAACAUGGCAAUUUGUAUCGACUUAUUUCAAUGCCUAGAGUUUGUUAACACUUGUACCUCAUUAACAAAACACUUACGAUGAACACUCUCAGAUGAUGAGUGAAGUUUCUUGACAGAUAUAUAUUGUUAGUCUGUUACUUUGUAGUGUGGUUUUGUAUACAUUACAAUAUCCUCCAGUCCAAACACAUUAAGCAUCAUCAAAAUCAUUUAUUGUCUUCACGAUUGCAUCAUAAACUAACCUUCCAUCUAAACUUGUUAUGGAGAAGUAAUAACUCAUUGGUUUCGGUGGAGAUGUUUUUUUGUCAAUAAGCAAUGAAGCCAUAUGUGAAGAAAUGAAGUGAAACUACCCCCAUAAGAGAGCAUAAUUACAAAGGAUGUAUUUAUCUUCAAAAUUUGAUUUGAACAAAGUUUUAGUCGUGUAACAUUUCAACACAAACCUUGAUUACAUUGAUGGAAGCAUUUACAAAAUUAGGGCAAGGGGAACCGGACAUAUGAGUGCAUUAUAAGACAAGUCGAUAUUAAUCAUGUUAAGCAAACUUGUUAAAGCAUUAGGAAUAAAAUCAAAUAGUCUAUUGUGAAAAAACAAAUCCCAUAUGAGAUUGGUAAACUAGCUAUCUUAUGAAACUUGAUAUACACAGAAUUUGCUCAACGAAAGAUAGAAGCUGAAAGAUUAGGAGAAUUGGAUCUUUUUAAUGAUAUUACUAAUGCUUUUACAAGUUUGCCUAGCAGAUUAAUUAAUCAUAAAAUUCAGUACUCAUCGGGAUAAAAUUUAAUCAAGUUUGUCGAAAUGUUCUAGGACGAGAACUUUGCGCAAAUCAAAUUACUAAGAAGAUGAUGAUCUGCUCCAUAACAAGUUUUGAUGGAAGGGUAGUAUAUGGAAAUCAUGAAGGCAACAAAUGAUUUUGAAAAACUUACUGUAUUGGGACCGGAGGAUACUGUAUGCUGCCAUUGCUGUUGUUCCAGAACGAGGACGACGAAGAGAAAGAUGAACCCUAAUUCGCAGAACCGGCGAUAGAAUUCCCCCUCGCUUUGCUUGUCAAGAACCCUAUCAUCUGCAACCACUACCAUUUACGGUUUCUUUGGAGUUUGGUCAGUUUCUUUGAUUCGGUUUGAGAGGUUAGGAUUUCAAUUUGGUUUUCUCUUCUACCCCUAUCUUAUUUCUAUAGAUUUUCUCCCACCCAUAUCCAUUAUUUCUCC
rnacentral:lncRNA from 1 species